rnacentral:rRNA from 1 species
AUUGAACGCUGGCGGCAGGCCUAACACAUGCAAGUCGAGCGGAUGAAGGGGGCUUGCUCCUGGAUUCAGCGGCGGACGGGUGAGUAAUGCCUAGGAAUCUGCCUGGUAGUGGGGGAUAACGUCCGGAAACGGGCGCUAAUACCGCAUACGUCCUGAGGGAGAAAGUGGGGGAUCUUCGGACCUCACGCUAUCAGAUGAGCCUAGGUCGGAUUAGCUAGUUGGUGGGGUAAAGGCCUACCAAGGCGACGAUCCGUAACUGGUCUGAGAGGAUGAUCAGUCACACUGGAACUGAGACACGGUCCAGACUCCUACGGGAGGCGGCAGUGGGGAAUAUUGGACAAUGGGCGAAAGCCUGAUCCAGCCAUGCCGCGUGUGUGAAGAAGGUCUUCGGAUUGUAAAGCACUUUAAGUUGGGAGGAAGGGCAGUAAGUUAAUACCUUGCUGUUUUGACGUUACCAACAGAAUAAGCACCGGCUAACUUCGUG